AGUGAACGCUGGCGGUAGGCCUAACACAUGCAAGUCGAACGGCAGCACAGGAGAGCUUGCUCUCUGGGUGGCGAGUGGCGGACGGGUGAGGAAUACAUCGGAAUCUACUUUUUCGUGGGGGAUAACGUAGGGAAACUUACGCUAAUACCGCAUACGACCUACGGGUGAAAGCAGGGGAUCUUCGGACCUUGCGCGAUUGAAUGAGUCGAUGUCGGAUUAGCUAGUUGGCGGGGUAAAGGCCCACCAAGGCGACGAUCCGUAGCUGGUCUGAGAGGAUGGUCAGCCACACUGGAACUGAGACACGGUCCAGACUCCUACGGGAGGCAGCAGUGGGGAAUAUUGGACAAUGGGCGCAAGCCUGAUCCAGCCAUACCGCGUGGGUGAAGAAGGCCUUCGGGUUGUAAAGCCCUUUUGUUGGGAAAGAAAUCCAGCUGGUUAAUACCCGGUUGGGAUGACGGAACCCAAAGAAUAGGCACCGGCUAACUUCGUGCCAGCCGCCGCGGUAA
rnacentral:rRNA from 1 species